ensembl:rRNA 5S_rRNA 5S ribosomal RNA
GUCUGGCACUAUACCACUUGGAAUGCACCUGAUCUUAUCUGAUCUUAGAAGCUAAGCAAAGCCAGGCUUGGUUAGUACUUGGACAGGAGACAGCCAGGGCUGAAGGAUAUAACAAAUA